rnacentral:rRNA from 1 species
UACGUAGGGUGCAAGCGUUGUCCGGAAUUUAUUGGGCGUAAAGAGCUCGUAGGCGGUCUGUCGCGUCUGCUGUGAAAACUCGGGGCUUAACCCCGGGCCUGCAGUGGGGUACGGGGCAGACUAGAGUGCGGUAGGGGGAGACUGGAAUUCAUGGUGUAGCAGUGAAAUGCGUAGAUAUCUGGAGGAAUACCGGUGGCGAAGGCGGCAUCCUGGACCGGCAUUGACGCUGAACAGCGAAAGCUAGGGGAGCAAACGGG